UCGAGAAUCUUCCACAAUGGACGAAAGUCUGAUGGAGCGACGCCGCGUGAUCGAUGAAGUUCUUCGGAAUGUAAAGAUCUUUUAUGAGGGAGAAAGUUAUUGAUAGUACCUCAUGAAUAAGGAGUUGCUAAACUCGUGCCAGCAGCAGCGGUAAUACGAGUGCUCCAAGCGUUAUCCGGAAUUACUGGGCGUAAAGGGUGUGUAGGUUGUUAUGUUAGUCUCUUGUCAAAGCUCCCGGCUUAACCGGGAAAAGGCAGGGGAAACGGCAUAACUUGAAGAUACGAGAGGUAUGUAGAACUCAUGGUGUAGGGGUGAAAUCCGUUGAUAUCAUGGGGAAUACCAAAAGCGAAGGCAGCAUACUGGCGUACUCUUGACACUGAAACACGAAAGCGUGGGUAGCGAAUGGG
rnacentral:rRNA from 1 species